ACUGAAUAGAUACCCAGGUAGUCCACGCCGUAAACGUUGGAUACUAGGUGUGGGAGGUUUUCUACCCCUUCCGUGCCGCAGCUAAACGCAUUAAGUAUCCCGCCUGGGGAGUACGGUCGCAAGACUGAAACUCAAAGGAAUUGACGGGGGCCCGCACAAGCGGUGGAGCAUGCGGUUUAAUUCGACGCAACGCGAAGAACCUUACCCGGGCUUGACAUCACCGUAAGGAACCGUGGCUCUCUGGAAACAGGGAGUCUUAGGUAGACAGGUGUUGCAUGGCUGUCGUCAGCUCGUGUCGUGAGAUGUUGGGUUAAGUCUCGCAACGAGCGCAACCCCUAUCCCUAGUUGCCAGCGGUCUGCCGGGAACUCUAGGG
rnacentral:rRNA from 1 species